GACGAACGCUGGCGGCGUGCCUAAUACAUGCCAGUCGAACGCUGAAGGAGGAGCUUGCUUCUCUGGAUGAGUUGCGAGCGGGUGAGUAACGCGUAGGUAACCUGCCUGGUAGCGGGGGAUAACUAUUGGAAACGAUAGCUAAUACCGCAUAAUAGUAGAUGUUGCAUGACAUUUGCUUAAAAGGUGCAAUUGCAUCACUACCAGAUGGACCUGCGUUGUAUUAGCUAGUUGGUGAGGUAACGGCUCACCAAGGCAACGAUACAUAGCCGACCUGAGAGGGUGAUCGGCCACACUGGGACUGAGACACGGCCCAGACUCCUACGGGAGGCAGCAGUAGGGAAUCUUCGGCAAUGGACGGAAGUCUGACCGAGCAACGCCGCGUGAGUGAAGAAGGUUUUCGGAUCGUAAAGCUCUGUUGUAAGAGAAGAACGAGUGUGAGAGUGGAAAGUUCACACUGUGACGGUAUCUUACCAGAAAGGGACGGCUAACUACGUG
rnacentral:rRNA from 1 species